UUGAAUUGUGUAAUCCUGCAUAAUAUUUCAGGAAUAUAUAUUGAUUACCACCAUUAACCCAGCUAUUUAUAUUACUUCAUUUCAGGAUUUAAUCUGUCACACAUUACUUGUCAGAAGUUUUAAUGUUCAUAGUGGCUCAAACAGUCAAACAAGAAAUCAAAACAUAAUUUCAGUGUAAGCCAUUACUUGUCAUCAAAACUUAUGGAUGAGGAUAUAGUUUAUAGCACUUGUUACAUGAUAGAUGAGUAGUUGUGAAAUGUUAAAACAUAGUUUAUGUUUGAACAUUGCAUGCAAUUGCUAUGUUGCACAUUACUGUUAAUUGUGAUUUAUUGACCAUUUAGGUAAUUUGUCUAAGGUGAAGUAAUCAUACAUUUCUUUCACAGAAUGAUGUCUAAUUGUCUUAUGGCAAAGUUCAAUAUGAGCGGUGGUGGACAUCUGGAAAAGAAGGCUUUUAAAGGCACACCUUUGUAUUAUGUUAUUCAAGAUGCUGUGAAGAGGUGGAGCCCAAAUGCCAGAGACUCAGAAAUAGAUGCAGCUAUGGCAGACCACCUCAAGCACGGUCCAGGAUGAGCUGGGGGUUGUGAAUACACUAAAUAAGCCAAACAGCUGUAAUGUGUAAAAGAGAGAGUUGACCCAAAAAUGAAAAUUGUUAUAAUUUUCUUACCCACAUGUUUCAAACCUGUAUACAUUUCUAUUUUCUGCUGAACACAAAGAUUGAAAAAUGUUUGUAACCAAGCUAACUGUCAAUAAUUUUUUUUUACAAUUGUAGUAAUGGGUUGUGAGAUCUGCUUUCUGCUUUCUAUUCUUUUAAAUAUCUUUGUGUUCAGCAGAACAUAGAAAAGUAUACAGGUUUGAAACAUAAGAGAGAGUAAAUUACUAAAUAAUCAUUUUUGGGUGAACUAUCCUUUUAUAUAGUAAAGUAUUUUGAAAUUGUUAUUAUAGUUAAACAGUUUAAAAAAAAUAAAAAGUGCUAAAUCAGAA